rnacentral:tRNA from 1 species
GCCUCCUUAGCUCAGCUGGCAGAGCAAUCGCCUUGUAAGCGAUAGGUCGUAGGUUCGAAUCCUAUAGGUGGCACCA